rnacentral:rRNA from 1 species
UGGGCAACCUGCCCCUCUCUCUGGGAUAACCCCGGGAAACCGGAGCUAAUAUCGGAUACUCCGGCUGGAUCGCAUGGUCCGGCCGGGAAAGGUCCGCCGGAGAGGGAUGGGCCCGCGGCCUAUCAGCUUGUUGGUGGGGUCAUGGCUCACCAAGGCGACGACGGGUAGCUGGUCUGAGAGGACGACCAGCCACACUGGAACUGAGACACGGCCCAGACCUCCUACGGGAGGCA